rnacentral:rRNA from 1 species
UGAGUGGCGGACGGGUGAGUAACGCGUGGGCAACCUGCCCGUGUACAGGGGGACAACACUUAGAAAUAGGUGCUAAUACCGCAUAACGGGGGGAGCCGCAUGGCACCCCCCUGAAAACUCCGGUGGUACAGGAUGGGCCCGCGUCUGAUUAGCUGGUUGGCAGGGUAACGGCCUACCAAGGUGACGAUCAGUAGCCGGCCUGAGAGGGCGGACGGCCACACUGGGACUGAGACACGGCCCAGACUCCUACGGGAGGCAGCAG